ACUGUUUAAAAGCAACUUACAAGUCCCACCUAUACUCACAGAAAAGGGAUCAUACAAUAGUAUGAAUACUACCAAGGGAGGAUAAUCAGAGGGCUGUCCUAGAUCUGUCUCCCAUGAAAAUAUUCAGAAAGGACAAAAUAUUUGAUCUCUUUAGGAAAACCCCCUUUAAAAGUUUAGGUCUACACAUGAAGGAAAAGGAUUAGUUAAAAAAAAAAGUUUAGGUCUAAAUCAUAAAGAAGGGAAAAAGCAUAUUGGUUGCAGGAGCUCAAAAUAUAAUUUUUUUUAAAUUUAAGCUGGGAAACAUAGAUUCAAGUUGCCCUGAAUAGAUACUCCCUAGAACAUAAUUUUUCUCUAAGAGUAAGAAAGUAAUAACUAUACAGGACAUAUUCAUCAGAUGGACGGGAAAGAAGAGAAAUUAAGUAGUUUUUCUUUAUAAAAAAAAAACAGUAAGGCCAAAGCAAGCCAGAAUAAUUCAAUGCAACACAUAUUUAUUGAGUAUCUCUACAACUUGGACUCUAUUAUGUGCUAUGGAGAGUGAGGAGAUUGUGGGAACACAAAGGAAAGGCACCUUUACGUGGAUGUCUCCCUGUGAGAGGAUCACACAUCUCGGCCCUGUUGAUAACAUGUUACUUGCUUUGACCAAUGAAAUAGAAGCAGAAAUGAGGUGUGCUCCUUCUGAGCAGAGCAAGAACCCUCUCAUCCUUGGCCAUGCUCUCAUUCUCUCUGCGAAGAGACAAGCAAUGUUGGAAUGGGGACCCUUACAACAACCUGGGUCUCAGAUGAAAAAGACAUGCAGCUGACUUACAAUAGGCAUGUAACAUGAACAAUAAAUAAACCGUUAUUGUGUCA